UAAGCAACCUGCCUAUCAGAGGGGAACAACAGUUAGAAAUGACUGCUAAUACCGCAUAUGCCUUAAUUACCACAUGGUAGUAGAGGGAAAGGAGCAAUCUGCUGAUAGAUGGGCUUGCGUCUGAUUAGAUAGUUGGUAAGGUAACGGCUUACCAAGUCGACGAUCAGUAGCCGGACUGAGAGGUUGAACGGCCACAUUGGGACUGAGAUACGGCCCAGACUCCUACGGGAGGCAGCAUG
rnacentral:rRNA from 1 species